AGCAUAACUGAUGCCAGAAAAGACUGGAGAUUGAACACACUUACUGGGGAAGGCAAACAUUUAACUGCUUCACAGCUGGCUGUCUUCUGCUGUGGGCGGCCUCUGCCAUUCUUCCCAUGCUAGAAUGGACUAUAAAAUUAACAACUGAAUGUUAUGAUACUCUGCAGGGCAUCAUGCAUCUGGCCCAAGGAUGCAUGUUGGGCAGCAGUGACAUGGAACUGAAGUAGAGUUCUUGCUGCAUUAAUGACAAAUGGAGUUGCUGCCAGAUGGCCAGAGACUUUCCUCCAGGAGUGCUGGAGUCUUAUUUGGAGCCUCCAUGAACCUCUGGAGGAGAGCUUUGUCUUAAAGGCCAAGGAACACCAAGGACCCGACAGCACAAACAAAAGAUUUAGGAAAACCAGCAAUGAAGUGAAGCAGUGGAACUUCCUCAAGAUUAUGACACAAAAUCCAUUGAGAGAUAUGGAAAAGAAGUUUUUCCCAUUGUAUCCAGCUUCCAUCAACCCUACACCUUUCCCUCUUACCUGUACAUGCGUCUCCUAUGGACAAAACAAACAUGGAAAAGUGUAUGUUUUCAGUUAAAGUGAUUUUAUGAAAUAUUUAAAUUUUAAUAUUAGAAUUUGAAUGAAAAUAAACAUAGCCCUAAGGUUUACCCUAUAUUCUCU
rnacentral:lncRNA from 12 species